CUUCCGUAGGGUAACCUGCGGAAGGAUCAUUACCUAGAGUUGUAGGCUUUGCCUGCUAUCUCUUACCCAUGUCUUUUGAGUACCUUACGUUUCCUCGGUGGGUUCGCCCACCGAUUGGACAAAUUUAAACCCUUUGCAGUUGAAAUCAGCGUCUGAAAAAACUUAAUAGUUACAACUUUCAACAACGGAUCUCUUGGUUCUGGCAUCGAUGAAGAACGCAGCGAAAUGCGAUAAGUAGUGUGAAUUGCAGAAUUCAGUGAAUCAUCGAAUCUUUGAACGCACAUUGCGCCCCUUGGUAUUCCAUGGGGCAUGCCUGUUCGAGCGUCAUUUGUACCUUCAAGCUCUGCUUGGUGUUGGGUGUUUGUCUCCUGUAGACUCGCCUUAAAACAAUUGGCAGCCGGCGUAUUGAUUUCGGAGCGCAGUACAUCUCGCGCUUUGCACUCAUAACGACGACAUCCAAAAGUACAUUUUUACACUCUUGACCUCGGAUCAGGUAGGGAUACCCGCUGAACUUAAGCAUAUCAAUAAGCGG
rnacentral:rRNA from 1 species